UACAGAGGGUGCGAGCGUUAAUCGGAAUUACUGGGCGUAAAGGGCGCGUAGGCGGUGAGGAACGUGUGAUGUGAAAGCCCCGGGCUUAACCUGGGAAGGGCAUCGCAAACGAACUGACUGGAGUAGAUGAGAGGGUGGCGGAAUUUCCGGUGUAGCGGUGAAAUGCGUAGAGAUCGGAAGGAACGUCGAUGGCGAAGGCAGCCACCUGGCAUCAUACUGACGCUGAAGCGCGAAAGCGUGGGGAGCGAACAGG
rnacentral:rRNA from 2 species